rnacentral:rRNA from 1 species
UGCCGGUGGGACCGGUUACGCCGGGGCCCGUAACUCCCUCCGUGCUGCUCUUAACCGAGUGGUUCGGUGGGCCGGCACGUUUACUUUGAACAAAUUUGAGUGCUCAAAGCAGGCCUUAUGUUGACUGAAAACUGUGUGCAUGGAAUAAUGGAAUAGGACCUUGGUUCUAUUUUGUUGGCUUUUCUGAACUCGAGGUAAUGAUUAAUAGGGACAGACGGGGGCAUUCGUAUUACGACGUUAGAGGUGAAAUUCUUGGAUCGUCGUAAGACGAACCGAUGCGAAAGCGUUUGCCCAAGAAUGUUUUCGCUAAUCAAGAACGAAAGUUAGAGGUUCGAAGGCGAUCAGAUACCCGCCCCUAGUUCUAACCAUAAACGAUGCCAGCCAGCGAUGCGCCGAAGUUCUUCCGAUGACUCGGCGCGCAGCUUCCGGGAAACCAAAGCUUUUGGGUUCCGGGGGAAGUAUGGUUGCAAAGCUGAAACUUAAAGGAAUUGACGGAAGGGCACCACCAGGAGUGGAGCCUGCGGCUUAAUUUGACUCAACACGGGA